UACGUAGGGGGCGAGCGUUGUCCGGAAUCAUUGGGCGUAAAGCGCGUGUAGGCGGCUCGGCAAGUCUGGUGUGAAAACUGGAGGCUCAACCUCCAGCUGUCGCUGGAUACUGCCGGGCUUGAGUCCGGAAGAGGAGAGUGGAAUUCCCGGUGUAGCGGUGAAAUGCGCAGAUAUCGGGAAGAACACCUAUGGCGAAGGCAGCUCUCUGGGACGGUACUGACGCUGAGACGCGAAAGCGUGGGGAGCGAACAGG
rnacentral:rRNA from 1 species